rnacentral:rRNA from 1 species
AGGGAAUUUUGCGCAAUGGGCGAAAGCCUGACGCAGCGACGCCGCGUGAGGGAAGAGUGCCUUCGGGUUGUAAACCUCUGUCCAUGGGGAAGAUGAUGACGGUACCCGUGGAGGAAGCCCCGGCUAACUACGUGCCAGCAGCCGCGGUAAUACGUAGGGGGCUAGCGUUGUCCGGAAUUAUUGGGCGUAAAGGGUGCGUAGGCGGCAUUUUAAGUCACAUGUGAAACUCCUCGGCUCAACCGGGGACUUGCAUGUGAAACUAGAAUGCUUGAGUUCAGGAGAGGAGAACGGAAUUCCUGGUGUAGCGGUGAAAUGCGUAGAUAUCAGGAGGAACACCAGUGGCGAAGGCGGUUAUCUGGACUGCAACUGACGCUGAGGCACGAAAGCUGGGGGAGCGAAC